ensembl:lncRNA
UGUGAUCCUCACAAGUGCUGUGUGAUGCUUGCAGAUCACUCCUGCAGGUCAACCCAGCAGAGGGAUGGAGGCAGUCUGGGUUCCAUCUUGGGUUAUGCAGGGGUAAAAGAGCCUGUGGAGCAAGACGGAUCAAUUGUCUUUAGAGCUGGUCAGAUUCAUGGCAUCAGUGAACCAUUCCCAAAGCGGAGACCCACAUGUUGAGGCUGCCAGAAAGCACAGGAUCCUCUCCUGCCUCAGGACACCACACUGCUGCCCUGGGCAGAGCUCAUGUAGGAUCCCUGUGUGAGCAAAAUCCUAUCGCUGCCUUCGAACAAGCUCUAGAUUUGGUUGGAGCGGCAUCAAAGGAAAGGGGAGGUGAAGCUGAGGACUCGACCCGCCAGCCCAGGCUGAACUGCAAGGCUGGCAGCGAGGGGAAAACAUAUUUCUGCUGCUAAACAGAU